rnacentral:misc_RNA from 1 species
CCAAUAGCGUAUAUUAAAGUUGUUGCAGUUAAAAAGCUCGUAGUUGAAUUUCGGGAUUGGCGCAUCGGUCGUGCCUUACGGGGUAUGAACUGGUGCAGUCAAUUUCUCACCUUCUGGAGAACCGCGAUGUCCUUAAUUGGGUGCCGCGGGGAACCAGGACCUUUACUUUGAAAAAAUUAGAGUGUUUAAAGCAGGCAUUUUUGCUUGAAUACAUUAGCAUGGAAUAAUAAAAUAGGACGGCAUGGUUCUAUUUUGUUGGUUUCUAGGACCACCGUAAUGAUUAAUAGGGAUAGUUGGUGGCAUUAGUAUUCAAUUGUCAGAGUUGAAAUUCUUGGAUUUAUUGAAGACUAACUACUGCGAAAGCAUUUGCCAAGGAUGUUUUCAUUAAUCAAGAACGAAAGUUAGGGGAUCGAAGACGAUCAGAUACCGUCGUAGUCUUAACCAUAAACUAUGCCGACUAGGAAUCAGACGAUGUUAAUUUUUUAAUGACUCGUUUGGCACCUUACG